rnacentral:rRNA from 1 species
AUGAGCCAGCGAGUUGCGGUAUGCGGCGAGGUUAAGGUUUGAACCGAGCCGCAGUGAAAGCGAGCCUUUAAGAUGGCGAUAGAGUCGCAUGCUGCAGACGCGAAGCCGGGUGAGCUAUCCAUGGGCAGGCUGAAGCGGGGGUAAGACCCCGUGGAGGGCCGAACCCACUUCGGUUGAAAACGGAGGGGAUGACCCGUGGAUAGGGGUGAAAGGCCAAUCAAACCCGGAGAUAUCUCGUUCUCCCCGAAAUAGCUUUAGGGCUAGCCUCGGCCGUUCUCCGACGGCGGUAGAGCACUGGAUCGUCGAGGGGGCUUCACCGCCUACCGACACGAACCAAACUCCGAAUGCCGCCGGAUCAGAGGCCGGGAGUCAGAACAUGUGGGCUAAGCUGUGUGUUCGAGAGGGAAACAGCCCAGACCGCCCGCUAAGGUCCCCAAGUUUAUGCUGAGUGGCAAAGGAUGUGCGUUUGCCUAGACAACCAGGAUGUUGGCUUAGAAGCAGCCAUGCAUUUAAAGAGUGCGUAACAGCUCACUGGUCAAGUGGACAUGCGCCGACAAUUCACGGGGCUAAGCAUAACACCGAAGCGGCGGACUAAUCUAUAUUAGUGGUAGGGGAGCUUUCCCCGCAGCGGAGAAGCCGAGAGGGCGACCCUCGGUGGAGCGCGGGGAAGUGAGAAUGCUGGCAUGAGUAACGAGAGCGGCGCGAGAAACGCCGCCGCCGUAAGCCUAAGGGUUCCUGGGCAAGGCUAAUCCUCCCAGGGUCAGUCGGGAGCUAAGGCGAGGCCGAGAGGCGUAGCCGAUGCGCAACAGGCGGACAUUCCUGUACCGCCUGCGGACCGCUAUCACCGACGGGGUGACGGAGAAGGGUAGCCGAGCGGGGUUCUGGACGUCCCCGUGAAAGCGCGUAGGGCGCGGAGCAUGGAAAUCAGCUCCGCAGACAGCCUGAGACGCGAGACGAAAGCUUAUGCUGAAGUCGGCGAGCCCAUGCUUCCGAGAAAAACCUCUAGGAAGGGACGCAGGCGCCCGUACCAAAACCGACACAGGUGGGCAGGUAGAGCAUACCGAGGCGAUCGGGAGAACCAUGGUUAAGGAACUCGGCAUACUGACUCCGUAACUUCGGGAGAAGGAGUGCCCCUGGCGGUGACGGGACUAGCUCCCCGAGCGGCCGGGGGUCGCAGCGAAACGGCCCAAGCGACUGUUUAUCAAAAACACAGGACUCUGCAAAGCCGUAAGGCGACGUAUAGGGUCUGACGCCUGCCCGGUGCUGGAAGGUUACGCGGAUGGGUCAGCCGAAAGGCGAAGCUCUGAAGCCAAGCCCCAGUAAACGGCGGCCGUAACUAUAACGGUCCUAAGGUAGCGAAAUUCCUUGUCGGGUAAGUUCCGACCUGCACGAAUGGCGUAACGAUUUGGGCGCUGUCUCAACCAUGGACCCGGUGAAAUUGUAUUAUUCGUGAAGAUGCGAAUUACCUGCGGAAGGACGGAAAGACCCCGUGAACCUUUACUGCAGCUUGACAUUGAUCGUUGGCUCGGCGCGUAGAGGAUAGGCAGGAGGCUGCGAAGCCCGGGCGCCAGCCCGGGCGGAGCCGACCUUGGAAUACUGCCCUCGUCGCGUCGGCGAUCUAACCCCCGGCCGUGAUCCGGCGGGGGGACCGUGUCAGGCGGGUAGUUUGACUGGGGCGGUCGCCUCCCAAAACGUAACGGAGGCGCGCAAAGGUCCGCUCAGAACGGUCGGCAACCGUUCGCAGAGCGCAAGAGUACAAGCGGGCUUGACUGCGAGGCCCACAAGCCGAGCAGAGACGAAAGUCGGUUCUAGUGAUCCGGCGGCACAGAGUGGAAUGGCCGUCGCUCAACGGAUAAAAGGUACUCCGGGGAUAACAGGCUGAUCUUGCCCAAGAGUCCACAUCGACGGCAAGGUUUGGCACCUCGAUGUCGGCUCAUCGCAUCCUGGGGCUGAAGUCGGUCCCAAGGGUAUGGCUGUUCGCCAUUUAAAGCGGUACGCGAGCUGGGUUCAGAACGUCGUGAGACAGUUCGGUCCCUAUCCUCCGCAGGCGCAAGAGGAUUGAGGAGGUCUGCCCCUAGUACGAGAGGACCGGGGUGGACGGACCUCUGGUGCAGCAGUUGUCGACCAACGGCACGGCUGCCUAGCUACGUCCGGCACGGAUAACCGCUGAAAGCAUCUAAGUGGGAAGCCGUCUCCAAGAUGAGUCCUCUUUCCGGUAAGGGCCCAGGCAGAACACCUGGUCGAUAGGCCGCAGGUGCAAGGCGUGCGAGCGCCUCAGCCGAGCGGUACUAAUAGCCCGAGCUCUUCUUCCA